GCCGGGCGCAGUGGCUCAAGCCUGUAAUCCCAGCUACUCGGGAGGCUGAAACACAAGAAUCGCCUUGCAGGGGUCCAACAGCCACAUGGCAGGAAUAAGAGGCUCCAAAAAAGAAAAUAAAAAAAAAUAAAUAAGAAAAACAAAAUAGGCCGGGCGCAGUGGCUCAAGCCUGUAAUCCCAGCACUUUGGGAGGCCGAGACGGGUNNNNNNNNNNACCCGUCUCGGCCUCCCAAAGUGCUGGGAUUACAGGCUUGAGCCACUGCGCCCGGCCUAUUUUGUUUUUCUUAUUUAUUUUUUUUUAUUUUCUUUUUUGGAGCCUCUUAUUCCUGCCAUGUGGCUGUUGGACCCCUGCAAGGCGAUUCUUGUGUUUCAG
rnacentral:SRP_RNA from 1 species